rnacentral:lncRNA from 1 species
CGGAAAUUAGCAACAAAACAUAUUAGAAUUAGAACAUAUGGCAUGACAUCGUGUCAAUUCAUCAAACGCAUGCAAGUACAAGCAGUAAGUACACGAUCAGCCAAUCCUAUAAAAGGAUUUGCAAUUUCAAAACUGAACAAAUCUUUCUUAGCGUCGCAGUGUGAUUAACAAUGGCUAAACAAAAAAGAACUGAACCUUGCGCUACAGAAUCUUUUUGCUAUAUAGAAAGGUAGAUUCUUCAGUUCAGUAUGUUAUUUUUUCUUUCUGAGACAAAUUAAUUCCAAAGUAUAACAGCUAAACCUAAUAUAGCCUUAUCAAACUCAACAACCAGUGAAUAGGCACUACAACAUAAGUGAAAGAGAAACCUGCGAAGCGUUGUUGUGGUUCUACGCGCUGAUUAGAGAAGAAAGUGAAAGGCCACAGCAAACGGAGAUACUCGGAAUUCGUAAGGAGUGAACUGCAGAUACAAAACAAUCGGCGAGAGACCUCUCUUCUGAUGCUGUGAUUGUGAUUUGGGACUUAUAUUAGGGUUUGGUUUCCUAUUUUCUGUGAACCAAAGCCCCUCCAAUUCAGAUGCAAUACACCGAU